GAUUAAUUUAAAGAAAACCCUAAUUUCCAGCUUACCACAAAUUCAUUUGUCACGUACAACCUCAUAAAUCUCCCUCACCAAGCCCUAGGGUUUCUCAUCGCAAUUAUAAAAAAACUUCGAAUUGGUAUUGACCAUCACUUUCCGUUUGAGCGCAUCCAAUUUUUGAAAGAUGGAUGCUCAGAGGGCUUUGCUUGAUGAACUCAUGGGCUCAGCACGUAAUUUGACUGAAGAAGAGAGAAAAGGGCACCGGGAAAUCAAGUGGGACGAUAAGGAAGUGUGUGGUUGCUAUAUGGUCCGGUUCUGUCCUCAUGAUUUGUUUGUCAACACUCGGAGCGACUUAGGGGCUUGCCAGAAAAUUCAUGACCCAAAGUUAAAGGAAAGCUUUGAGAUGUCUCCUAGACAUGAUCCAUUUGUUCCGAAGUUUGAAGCUGAUCUCGCUCAAUACUGUGAAAGGCUGGUUUCUGAUUUAGACCGGAGAGUGAGGCGUGGCCGUGAACGCCUUGCACAAGACGUUGAAGUCCAGCCUCCUCCACCAAUUUCUGCUGAAAAGGCGGAGCAGUUGUCUGUUCUGGAAGAGAAGAUAAAGAACCUACUGGAACAAGUUGAGUCUCUUGGUGAAGAAGGGAAGGUGGAUGAAGCUGAGGCACUUAUGAGAAAGGUGGAAUUGCUGCAUAUCGAGAAGAUUGCCUUAACUCAGCAACCACAGGAUAAAUUAUUGAUGGCUGCACAAGAGAAAAAAAUGGCACUAUGUGAAAUAUGUGGUUCUUUUCUAGUCGCAAAUGAUGCUACGGAGAGAACUCAGUCACAUGUUACUGGAAAGCAACACGUAGGCUAUGGCAUGGUUCGGGACUUUCUGGCUGAGUAUAAGGAAGCCAAGGAGAAGGCAAAAGAAGAAGAAAGACUGGCUAGGGAGAGAGAAGCGGAAGAACGAAGGAAGCUGCAGGAUAAAGAACAUGAGGGCAAACGCAGAAGAAGUGGCUCAUCUGAUAGGGACAGGCCUCGUCACCGGGAUUAUGACAGGGAGAGGGACCGAUAUCGUGAACGUGAUAGAUAUAAUGGAAGGAAUGGUAGAGGAAGCAGAGAGGUGGGAAGAGGGUCAGAUAGGAAGAACAUUAGCUCAAGUAAUGGAAGAGAAGGGAGUAGGGAUAGAUAUCGAGAACAUGAAAGGAGCAGAUCUCGCUCUCCUGCCAAACAUGGUCGCAGGAGGUCAUCCAGGAGUCCAGGCCGUCCAUAUUAGAGAAUUGUGUAGAAAUAUAUCUGGAUUAUGAAGAGGUAGAUGCUUUCAUAUACCACCAUGUUUAACGUAUGUGAUUCGAGAGUCUAAGUUUGUUAUCAUUAUGAGUGAUUGUUUUCUGUUCUCACAGCUCUUUUGAGACUAUACCAUCUCCUAUCACCAAUAUAAUUUCAGGAGAAAGAUGAGGCCGCGGUUUUAUUAUCAUCCUUUUGUUCUGCUGCAAAACUGUUGCCUUAUCUAUAGUAACUCAGGGCAAGCAAUGUCAUUUCUUACUUGUGAUUGUGCCAAUUUCGCAAUUGAGUGCAUCUGCUAAUAAGAUCUCAUAUAGAUGUAGCUGUUGCACUUGCAUGAUGCUCUGGAACCGCUGGGGUAAAUCUCUUGUCUGAUUUGUUUUUUCAUUUAUAUCGAAUUGGGCUUCGUUAGUUAAUAUAUGCAGAUCUUGUCUGUACAUAGUGUAAGCACAAAUAGCUUGUUCUAGGAACAAUCACAGACAAAAUUUUACUGCUGGCAGGGCGAUUUGGAUAAAAUAGUGAUCUAGGAAUUGUACAUAGUCCUUCAUUAGUGUAAACAACGCGACCUUUGGUUUGUUUUGAAUUCCUUGAAGCUAUAUCCAGGUAAUGAGCAAAGGAGCAUGCACCUGUUUUUGAUAAUUUUAGUAAACAAAUCUCCACCCUGGCUAAGUCCAUUAUUUCAGGAGCAUGCAACGAUGUUGAGGACUGCAUUGAAUUACAUAUAAUAGCUUUUGUUGCCUUAUCAUUCGACCUUGCUACUCGCGGAAUGUUUUGCUUCCAAUGGAUAUAUCACAGGUUCAAUGUUUUCUAUGUGAAUUAGUUAUGACUAUUCCUUGGCUAUAUUUGGCUUUUAUCCCUUGUAGUAUAUCCAAGACAGCCAUUUAGCUACAUGGAAUAAAUUAAGUCAAAAUGUUUUACUGUGAAA